GUGAGGAAUUUUCCGCAAUGGGCGAAAGCCUGACGGAGCAAUGCCGCGUGAAGGAUGAAGGCCUAUGGGUUGUAAACUUCUUUUCUCAGAAAAGAAUUAUGACGGUAUCUGAGGAAUAAGCAUCGGCUAACUCUGUGCCAGCAGCCGCGGUAAGACAGAGGAUGCAAGCGUUAUCCGGAAUGAUUGGGCGUAAAGCGACUGUAGGUUGUUUAAAAAGUAUUCUGUCAAAGAUUAGGGCUUAACCCUAGAUAGGCAGAAUAAACUUUUAAGCUAGAGUUUGGUAGAGGCAGAGGGAAUUCCCGGUGGAGCGGUGAAAUGCGUAGAUAUCGGGAGGAACACCAAAGGCGAAGGCACUCUGCUGGGCCAAUACUAACACUGAGAGACGAAAGCGAGGGGAGCAAAUGGGAUUAGAUACCCGGGUAGUCC
rnacentral:rRNA from 1 species